UAAAAUUUGGAGUUAGAUUUAGGUUUAUAUUUGAGUUUAUGGUUUAUAUUUGGAUUUAGGGUUUAGUGAUUAGGGUUUAAGGUUUAGUAUUUAGAGAUUAGUUUCAGAUUGAGAUAAGUUUUAGUAUCUAGAUUUAAGGUUGAUGUAUAAUUAAUAUUCUAUAUUAUUUUGGUGAUAUGAAGUAGAAUUAAUGAAAUGUUAGUGGUUAUUAUGUAUGUGAUGUGGCUGUGUUAUUUUCCUUUUGUUGGUGACAGUUUGCAUUAAUUAUUGGCCACACUUGGAUUUUGUCAACG
rnacentral:lncRNA from 1 species